rnacentral:rRNA from 1 species
GAUGAACGCUGGCGGCGUGCCUAAUACAUGCAAGUCGAGCGAAUAGACGAGGGUCUUGCUCCUCUGACGUUAGCGGCGGACGGGUGAGUAACACGUGGAUAACCUACAUAUAUGACUGGGAUAACUUCGGGAAACCGGAGCUAAUACCGGAUAAUAUAUUGAACCGCAUGGUUCAAUAGUGAAAGACGGGUUUGCUGUCAAUUAUAGAUGGAUCCGCGCCGCAUUAGCUAGUUGGUAAGGUAACGGCUUACCAAGGCAACGAUGCGUAGCCGACCUGAGAGGGAGAUCGGCCAAACUGGAACUGAGACGCGGUCCCAACUACAACGGGAGGCAGCAGUAGGGAAACUUCCGCAAUGGGCGAAAGCUUGACGGAGGAACGCCGAGUGAGAGAAGAAGGUCUACGAACCGUAAAACUCUGUUAUUAGAGAAGAACAAAUGUGCAAGUAACUAUGCACGUAUUAACGGUCCCUAAUCAGAAAGCCACGGCUAACUACGUG